rnacentral:rRNA from 1 species
CUAUGUCGGCGACCGGCGCACGGGUGCGUAACGCGUAUGCAACCUACCCAUUACAGGGGGAUAACACUGAGAAAUCGGUACUAAUACCCCAUAACAUCCAGGGAGGCAUCUUCUUGGGUUGAAAACUCCGGUGGUAAUGGAUGGGCAUGCGUUGUAUUAGUUAGUUGGUGGGGUAACGGCUCACCAAGACAACGAUACAUAGGGGGACUGAGAGGUUAACCCCCCCACAUUGGUACUGAGACACGGACCAAACUCCUACGGGAGGCAGCAG